UUCCUAUGAUGAGCUUACCAUGCUAAUAACGAUGCGCCAGACUGACUGGGUGUAAAUGAGUUCAACUCAACUUCUCACACUCAGUGUGCUCUGAGGAAA
ensembl:snoRNA Small nucleolar RNA U6-53/MBII-28